UACGGGGGGGGCAAGCGUUGUUCGGAAUUACUGGGCGUAAAGGGCGCGUAGGCGGCCAACUAAGUCGGAUGUGAAAUCCCCAGGCUCAACUUGGGAACUGCAUCCGAUACUGGCAGGCUUGAAUCCGGGAGAGGGAUGCGGAAUUCCAGGUGUAGCGGUGAAAUGCGUAGAUAUCUGGAGGAACACCGGUGGCGAAGGCGGCAUCCUGGACCGGCAUUGACGCUGAGGCGCGAAAGCCAGGGGAGCAAACGGG
rnacentral:rRNA from 1 species